CCCAGUCCCGCGUUCCUGUGAGGCCUCCGCGCCGCUCCGGAUGCCGCUCCUCUAGGCGCGAGGUCUUCCAGGGCCCUGCCCGGGCGCGCCGUUCGGGUCUAGGCGGGCCUCCUUCCCGGUGCUGACCCGGGCCUGUGCGAAGCGGGAUCUCUCGGGCGUCCCUCUCUUUGUCACCCCUUCCCCCGCCACGUGGAGGUGCCUCAGCCGCCUGAGCUCAGCCUGCCUGCGCCUGGAUUUUUAAGAAGGGGAAACCAAGGACAGAAGCCGCCCCCUAGGACGACGCGCCCGAGCCACCGGGAGGGUCUGAACGGCGGGGGCCUCCUGGAGCGCCUUCAGCGCCUCGUGUUUUCUUUCCUUGGGUCCCUGUUAGCGUCGCCGCAUGCACAGCGCUCCCUGUCAUUUGGUCCCUGAGCUUGGGUGUUUUUCACAUUUCAUCUAAAGAUGCAGACCCCUGCUAAGUCUAGCCAGCCUUCACCCUGAAUCUUGAACUUAAGAUGCUGCAUUUUCCACCCACCCCCACCCCUCUAGUAGCUGCAGAUUGACAAGCGGCUUUUCCCAACCAGAUGACAUUUUGGCUGCAAGAAUCCGUGGCCCGUUCUUGCCUCUGUGCAGCCAAGCUCCUUCGCUGUCUUUCUCAAACUGCAGUCCUGAGUUCAGCUUCGCUUAGCAGUGACCAUCCCAGAGGCAUUGUACUAGGAGCCCAAGGGCUACAAAGGUGAAUGAAUCACUCUCCUUACCCUGAGGAGCCAGAACUCUAGGAGAAAUGGAACCCGGUCCACAUCCCCUCUGCAGUUGGAUCCUAGGUCAUCCUGCCUUAACAACCAACCUGUGUUCUCUGUUUCUUCUGUAUCUAUUUCAGGAAGCCCCCAAUAAAUGUUAACCACUUUUCUGAUGACUUGGUGAAAGAGGAAG
rnacentral:lncRNA from 10 species